rnacentral:tRNA from 1 species
AAGACACUAGUAAAAUCCAUUACAUUGCCUUGUCAAGGCAAAAUUGUGGGCUAGUUCCCCGCGUGUCUUG